UAAGAAACCUGGUAACAGCUGAUAGGUACCAAAAGGGUGAGCAGAAGCCCCCCAUAUUUAGUGUAAAUAAUGGAACAAAUGAACAGACAUUCAGCCAGCCGAUACUGAUGCACACAUGCCGGAGAGCCUGAUGAGAACCUAGACUGACAUCCCAACUUGUCUCAUCUGCCUGAUCCUCUGCAUCGUCCUCACCGCUCUCAAACUCUACAGCAGCCUCUUGACCCUGGUGAGAAAGGUGCCUUCUCCUCAGGCAGCCGUCAACUCCACAACAGGAAAAGCCUCCAUCAGCUCCUGACUCCAUCGCUGCGGUCUGAGCAGCAUAAGGAAUCUAGUCCCAUGAUGCUGGGAAAGGUUGGGACAGAGAUGUCCCAUCUGCCCAAAAGAGGCCUGCAGAGAGUUCAGACCAGCACUCCCACUGCUGAUGAACCACUCAGAUGUUUGAUCACCUGGGAACUAUCACAGAGCACGACAGCCACAGACGGACACUGACAUAGCUCUUGCUUUGUGAGAGUCUAAGCUCUCUCCAGGUUCUGGGCCACUAACAAUGACCAGCACACAGCAGGAACUCAACAGAUAAAUGUCCAUUCAGGAAAUGGAUGAAUGAUUUCAUCAUCAGACCUUUCUUCAAAUGUAUGAAGAUUCCAUAUAUAGUUGAUGAACAGCUGAUAGAUAUUUUCAACGAGAACCCACAGAAAUAAUCCAGUAAAUGUCAACUGAGUAGAUAGUGUGAAAAAGAAAUAUGUCGCCGUGGUGGAAUCAAUCCUUUGUCCUCCUUCUGAGAACAGUGUGAGGGCAGCUGUUACUGAUCCUGAGAGAUAGUUGUUCACAAUCCUUUUUGAGUCAGAGAUCUCAUAGCAGGUCAGAAUUUCAGAGACACACCCAAUGGGGUCACCUCAAGAUGAUGGGAGAAGAAACAAAGUCUUAGCUGCCCCCAGCACCAUCAAACCUCUGUGGUCCCCAGAGUAACCUCCACUCUACCCUGAGUCUAGCUUCUGGAGCCUGAGCCCCAGCUGCCACCUUUACACCCAAGGGAAAGACCCCAGGUGACAAAAUGCAAAGGCGAGGUGAACCAACAUGGAGCCGCAGGUUUUCCUGCUAAAUCUGUUCCUCUACAAUGAAGGAGGAAAAUUGCCCAAAGGGAAAUUCAUGUAGCUGUGGCAGUGCCCUAUCACAAAAGAAGAUGGAGAUACUACAGACGCCAACUGAGGUGAACACUUUUUAAAUGACCUGUGAUAAAUGUAUAGUUUUUACGAGCUAUUUUACCAAGAUUUUAAAACACAAAUGCUAAUUUCCUUUCAUCUGCAAUGGAGAUACAGACAUGCACCAUAUAUUCAGUAUCACUGUUGCUUUUGGGAGAAGGGGAAGUAUUGCAGGAUAGAAAUGUGCCCAAGGCCAAUUUCAAAUGAGAGAAAACAAAACCUGUAGUUUAAAAACCAAACAGACUCAAAUUUCAUUGCCUGAAAAUGGAAACUCAAAUGAAGUAAAGAAAAAUCCUAUUGUCUGUGGAAA